CUACCACCCCUAGUUGUGAGUUAACUUUUUAAGGCAAAGUAAAAACAACAGUGAUGAUAUACUUUGUGAGGUAGAUUCUGUUAUUUUCUCAUUUUAUAGGAAAGGAAGCAGAGUUGAGCCAAAUGCUCAAGGUCACGGCUAGGAAGAGCCAGCUUCCAACCCAGACAGUUUGGUUCUGGCUCCUUCUCUUAUCCACUUCAUUCUGCUGCCUCUUCUUUCUGGGUGGCUGUUUGUCAACUUGGUAUCAUCCCUAUCUCUUGCCAGGGUAGUUCUGGUUCACGUUCUGCCAAAGAAAAGAAUUUGUUUGGCGCUUGGAAGGGGAAAUAAUAGGAAAAGCCAACAUUCCCUGGUAACAGCUAUGGACAGAAGUGGGAACUGUUGGCAGGCAUGAGGUUGUCACGGCUUCUGGGUAAACUACUGCUUUGGGGGCUGCAGGUGGCUGCGAGUGGACAGUAGCAGCUUCCCUGCUAUUCCUGGAAUGCCUGCAGUUCCUUACCUUCUCGUUCCUCUGGAUUUCCCGAAAGCCCUGCUGAACAUUCUGCCUGUUCUUCAUCCUUCCUACCCUUCCAAAUGUCAUGUAGGUUUCUAAUUCCCUGAAUUAAAUCCCCUCUACUUGAAAUGUCUC
rnacentral:lncRNA from 1 species